rnacentral:rRNA from 1 species
GUUUGACCUGGGAUGAGGUAGGGAUACCCGCUGAACUUAAGCAUA